rnacentral:rRNA from 1 species
CACGUAGGGGGCGAGCGUUGUCCGGAAUCAUUGGGCGUAAAGAGCUCGUAGGCGGCUCGGUAAGUCGGGUGUGAAACCCCCAGGCUCAACCUGGGGACGCCACCCGAUACUGCUGUGGCUAGAGUCCAGUAGGGGAGUGUGGAAUUCCCGGUGUAGCGGUGAAAUGCGCAGAUAUCAGGAGGAACACCGAUGGCGAAGGCAGGUCUCUGGGCCACUACUGACGCUGAGAAGCGAAAGCAUGGGGAGCGAACAGG